UCUGUGGCAAACAAUUGGAGGGGGAGGAUGUGUCGGUUUGCUCCAGAAAUCGUGUGUGAUUUUGGUGUUCUGGAUUUGGUUCCAUCGCUGUUUGUUUUGGUGGAAUUGAAAAGCAUCGCCGAGGAUGUGAUCGAAUGCGGAAUAUUCUAAACGAGGAGAUUCAUUCCGGAUUUUGUUUGCAAUAAGCGCUGAACUCAUCCUCCAGCUUACAACGAACGGUCAACGGAUGAGGAAGGAGAGGAGGGACGGCAAAGGUACACGCACAAACGUGCACACCUCAGCCUUGUCGGAGAACGAGAACACGGGAGGGGGAGACCGGCAACGUAGGUUCUAUACGUUCUUCAUUUACGCUCCCUCGUGCGUUCGUGCGUGCGUGCACGCGCGCGUCUGUGUGUGUGUGUAUGUGUGUGCAUGCCUGCGUGCGUGGCUGUGUGUGUUUUUGCCGCUUCGCUUAACGAGAUCCUACGGGAUCACCUUGUGAAAAACACCAAGAGAGGGGGAGGGGUAGGUGUAUGUGUAUGUGUGUGUAUGUGUGCUUGCAUGCGUACGUGGUUGUGAGUGUGUUUUUUGCUGUUUCGCGAUCUCCUAC